CCAUAUUGAAGCGGUAACUUGUAGUAUAAAAACCCCUGCACCGGUGUUCACACCUCACUGAGCAGUGACCUAGACAACAGACGCCACAUCAUGAAAGGAUUUUUGGCAUUAGCUACAUUGCUCUGCUGUCUGGCAUUGGUGGUGUGCACUGUAACCCCUCCCCCUAGUUUGGAGAACUGGGAUCCAAGUAAGCCCAUUGACGCAAAAACCCUAAGUGAAAUGAUCCCAGGGUCAAGGUAUACGGACGAUCCAAGUGUUCGUCCUGAAGAUUUGUUACCCCCUUGCCCUGGCAAGACUAAACGACAUUCUGUAAAGAUAUUUCCGGCGAAUCAGGAUCCUAGUUCACAGGAUAACAAAGGACCAUUGUUCACCAAGCCUGUUGGCUAAGUUAUGUGAGCCCUUCGCCAGGACCACUGAGUUGAAACCAACCGAAAAAAAUCAAUACUUGUUUUUAAUACAAAUUUGUGUUUGGUGUACAACACAACAUCGGCUUUAACGAGAUAAAUAUGAUAGAAAAUAUGUGGAAAAAAUGGAUUGUGUACUACUUUCACACUUUAAAAAAAUUAUGCAAGUAUUUUAAAAUGGUAGAUAUAAAUUGACUAAAUGUAUUGCACAAAAACUAACUAGAGUAUUAAUAAAUAAGUAUAAAAACA